rnacentral:misc_RNA from 1 species
AACUUUUAACAAAGUAUCUCUUGGCUCUUGCAUCGAUGAAUAACGCAGCGAAAUGCGAUAAGUAAUGUGAAUUGCAGAAUUCAGUGAAUCAUCGAAUCUUUGAACUCACCUUGCGCCCCCUGGUAUUCCGGGGAGCACACCUGUUCGAGUGUCUUGACACUGUCACGCUGGGGUACUUUUUGUUUAGAAAGGUUGCCUCUGUUUGGUUAUUGGGCUCUGCCGUGUCCUGCACUUGGGGAAAUGGGCUAGCCUUAAAAGCAUUAGCAAACUUUGAUAAUCUACUCGGCGUAUUUAAUGAUACAUGAACCGCAGAGGACACUGUUAUCGGUUGCUUUCUAAUCUGGCAUUCGUGGUUCCUUAGGAAUCCGUCAGCCAUCUUCAGAUUUGACCUCGAAUCAGGUGGGACUACCCGCUGAACUUAAGCAUAUCAAUAAGCGGAGGCU